GGUGCAAGUGAUGCUUAUCAGCGAUCAAAGUAUGAAGAAUAUGAUUCCAACUCCUCCCACUGAUGCACC